rnacentral:tRNA from 2 species
GCCGAGGUGGCCCAGUGGUACGGCGUAAGCCUGCUAAGCUUAUUUCCUAACGGAUUCCCGGGUUCGAAUCCCGGCCUCGGCG